UACACUCCUGCGGGAGGCAGCAGUGGGGAAUUUUGGACAAUGGGCGAAAGCCUGAUCCAGCAAUGCCGCGUGAGUGAAGAAGGCCUUCGGGUUGUAAAGCUCUUUUGUCAGGGAAGAAACGGUGAAAGCUAAUAUCUUUUGCUAAUGACGGUACCUGAAGAAUAAGCACCGGCUAACUACGUGCCAGCAGCCGCGGUAAUACGUAGGGUGCAAGCGUUAAUCGGAAUUACGGGGCGUAAAGCGUGCGCAGGCGGUUUUGUAAGUCUGAUGUGAAAUCCCCGGGCUCAACCUGGGAAUGGCAUUGGAGACUGGAAGGCUAGAAUCUGGCAGAGGGGGGUAGAAUUCCACGUGUAGCAGUGAAAUGCGUAGAUAUGUGGAGGAACACCGAUGGCGAAGGCAGCCCCCUGGGUCAAGAUUGACGCUCAUGCACGAAAGCGUGGGGAGCAAACAGGAUUAGAAACCCGGGUAGUCCCAUGA
rnacentral:rRNA from 1 species